AGGCGGGGGCGGGUGCUAUACAUGCAGUCGAACGCGUUGGCCCAAUUGAUUGAUGGUGCUUGCACCUGAUUGAUUUUGGUCGCCAACGAGUGGCGGACGGGUGAGUAACACGUAGGUAACCUGCCCAGAAGCGGGGGACAACAUUUGGAAACAGAUGCUAAUACCGCAUAACAACGUUGUUCGCAUGAACAACGCUUAAAAGAUGGCUUCUCGCUAUCACUUCUGGAUGGACCUGCGGUGCAUUAGCUUGUUGGUGGGGUAAUGGCCUACCAAGGCGAUGAUGCAUAGCCGAGUUGAGAGACUGAUCGGCCACAAUGGGACUGAGACACGGCCCAUACUCCUACGGGAGGCAGCAGUAGGGAAUCUUCCACAAUGGGCGCAAGCCUGAUGGAGCAACACCGCGUGAGUGAAGAAGGGUUUCGGCUCGUAAAGCUCUGUUGUUAAAGAAGAACACGUAUGAGAGUAACUGUUCAUACGUUGACGGUAUUUAACCAGAAAGUCACGGCUAACUACGUGCCAGCAGCCGCGGUAAUACGUAGGUGGCAAGCGUUAUCCGGAUUUAUUGGGCGUAAAGAGAGUGCAGGCGGUUUUCUAAGUCUGAUGUGAAAGCCUUCGGCUUAACCGGAGAAGUGCAUCGGAAACUGGAUAACUUGAGUGCAGAAGAGGGUAGUGGAACUCCAUGUGUAGCGGUGGAAUGCGUAGAUAUAUGGAAGAACACCAGUGGCGAAGGCGGCUACCUGGUCUGCAACUGACGCUGAGACUCGAAAGCAUGGGUAGCGAACAGGAUUAGAUACCCUGGUAGUCCAUGCCGUAAACGAUGAGUGCUAGGUGUUGGAGGGUUUCCGCCCUUCAGUGCCGGAGCUAACGCAUUAAGCACUCCGCCUGGGGAGUACGACCGCAAGGUUGAAACUCAAAGGAAUUGACGGGGGCCCGCACAAGCGGUGGAGCAUGUGUUUAAUUCGAAGCUACGCGAAGAACCUUACCAGGUCUGACAUCUGCGCAACCCUAGAGAUAGGGCGUUCUUCGGACGCAAUGACAGGUGUGCAUGUCGUCGUCAGCUCGUGUCGUGGAGAUGUGGGUAAGUCCCGCACGAGCGCACCCUGUUACUAGUGCCAGCAUAAGUGGCACCUCUAGUGAGAACCUGGCCGGGUGCAC
rnacentral:rRNA from 1 species